rnacentral:rRNA from 1 species
UGGGGAAUAUUGCACAAUGGGCGCAAGCCUGAUGCAGCCAUGCCGCGUGUGUGAAGAAGGCCUUCGGGUUGUAAAGCACUUUCAGCGAGGAGGAAGGUGGUGAGCUUAAUACGCUCAUCAAUUGACGUUACUCGCAGAAGAAGCACCGGCUAACUCCGUGCCAGCAGCCGCGGUAAUACGGAGGGUGCAAGCGUUAAUCGGAAUUACUGGGCGUAAAGCGCACGCAGGCGGUUUGUUAAGUCAGAUGUGAAAUCCCCGGGCUCAACCUGGGAACUGCAUUUGAAACUGGCAAGCUAGAGUCUCGUAGAGGGGGGUAGAAUUCCAGGUGUAGCGGUGAAAUGCGUAGAGAUCUGGAGGAAUACCGGUGGCGAAGGCGGCCCCCCUGGACGAAGACUGACGCUCAGGUGCGAAAGCGUGGGGCAGCAAACAGGAUUAGAUACCCUGGUA